AAGUCGUAACAAGGUUUCCGUAGGUGAACCUGCGGAAGGAUCAUUAAAUUCAGUAGCUUGCUACUGUUAGGGGGGGUCUAUUAGUCUGUAUAGUAUCACUACUGAUGAGCAGCACGACCCUCUGUCUAUACCCUUGUCUUUUGCGCACUCAUGUUUCCUCGGCGGCUUGAUACCCGCCGGCUGGAUCAAUCUGUAACCUUUUUAAUUUUCAAUCAGCGUCUGAAAAACCUAAUAAUUACAACUUUCAACAACGGAUCUCUUGGUUCUG
rnacentral:misc_RNA from 1 species